CUUUGUUGAGGGCAGUCUCAGGCAGCAACGCUUCUGUGGUUAUGAGUUUGGUUCACGCUUGAACUUAUUGGAGUUCGUGAUCUGUAAGACCCACGUGUUUACAAGGCUCGCAAGUAGAGAGAACGAUCACAAAUACCACAUUCAUUCCUCUACUUGCCAGUAGUAAAAGUAAGUUCGUUUAAAUAUAUUAACACAUUAUUUUGGCUCAGAAUGUUUUCAAUAUAG
rnacentral:lncRNA from 1 species